UAGGAAUGAGGAAAAAACAUAUUCUGGACAUCUUUUAAGAAUGACCAGUAUCAAAUACUGACUUAAGUACACCU
ensembl:snoRNA